rnacentral:sRNA from 1 species
UACAUGAAUAUGGUCUAAUGUUGAAAAACC